rnacentral:misc_RNA from 1 species
UGAUGAUUCCCCUGUAGGAGCUGCCGCAGGCUGCGAUCUUUUGAUCCUGUUUUUAAAGAUCAAAAGAUCGCAGCCUGCGGCAGCUCCUACAGUUGGA